GACGAACGCUGCGGCGGGCUUCACACAUGCAAGGUGGACGGAAAGGCCCUGCUUUUGUGGGGUUCUCGAGUGGCGAACGGGGGGGGAACAAGUGAGUAACCUGCCCUUGACUUUGGGGUAACUUCAGGGAAACGGGGCUAAUACCGGAAAGGAGCUCCUGCUGCAUGGGGGGGGGUGGGAAGUUUCGGCGGUUGGGGGUGGACUCGCGGCUUAUCAGCUUGUUGGUGGGGUAGUGGCUUACCAAGGCUUUGACGGGUAGCCGGCCUGAGAGGGUGACCGGCCACAUUGGGACUGAGAUACGGCCCAGACUCCUACGGGAGGCAGCAGUGGGGAAUAUUGCACAAUGGGCGGAAGCCUGAUGCAGCAACGCCGCGUGCGGGAUGACGGCCUUCGGGUUGUAAACCGCUUUCGCCUGUGACGAAGCGUGAGUGACGGUAAUGGGUAAAGAAGCACCGGCUAACUACGUG
rnacentral:rRNA from 1 species